rnacentral:lncRNA from 1 species
UGUGAAUGAAUUGGAUAUGAAUAUCCUGAGUAUGGACCCUCAACGCCAAAGGAUAGUCUACACGUCCUUCAUGCGCAGGUUUCUCGAGAGAAAUGAUACAGCAGGUAGGCUAUUUAUUUAAUUAUGAAUGGAUAUUGUCACUCAAUAUAUUGGAAUUGUUGACAUUUUGAUGAAUGUGGUAAUCUGUAGGAUGUGAUUGAGAGUUCUGUUUGUGUUCUGAAAAAGGAUGCCUCGCCCAUGAGAACAGCAGUGAGCAGUGGCUGAUGCGGAACUUUGGAUCCUUCUCUACCUUGGUUGACUAUGAAGACUUCUUUGCACUGAACGUUAAUUUCAGUGGUCUAUCAGUCCUGGCACUGCUGAGCCCGGAACAGAAGGCAGAGUUGGUUCUUCACCCCGGAAAUGGAGACCUGGACAAUGGCACUAUCAGCCUGGUCUUCCAGAGUCUGCUUGGGCCUCUAAUAAACAAUGCUCACCUGAAUCAGUCGAUGUACAAUGCAACAAUGAUGUCCAACAUGGCUGCUGGCAAUGCCACAGGUCCACAUGAACUUGACAGAGUGCGUUAUGUGUUUUAAUUUUUAUAAUUUUUUUUACUUGGAUCCCCAUUAGCUUUAGCAGAAGCAUCAGCUACCCUCCCUGGGGUCCACAAAAAAACACAAAACAAGUAACAAUACACUGAUAGACAAGGACAGUCACACAAAUUUCAAAUACAAGGAUAUAGAAACAAUACAACAAAAAAAUAUAUAUAUAUUUAAUAUGUGUGUUAGUGAGUCUGUGUGCAUGCGUGUGUUUAUCGGUCUCUUUUCUGGGGUGGCAGGUAGCCUAGCGGUUAAGUGGGACUAAUUAAACAAUCUGUCGAUGUGCCUUUGAGCAAGGCACUUAACCCUAAUUGCUCUGGAUAAGAGCGUCUGCUAAAUGUUAAUGUCAAACAAGGCUAUUUCUUUUGCUGUCAUCAACUCCAUGUACAGUAUGAGCCAACUAAUGAUUACAAAUCUGUGGUUGCAGACUCUAAAUGACUUCCUGUCAUUCCUGAGGCCCUUGGGUAGUUUCAUCAAGACUUUGGUGGGCAGCAUUCAAGUGAGGAAUGUGAGCUCCGAGAGACAGCAUGUUCUGGCCCAGGCAGUAGUGAACUGGAUCCUGGCAGAGCUGGCUGGACACAUCUCCCCCAACUUCACACUGACAAAUGAGACCAUCCCCAGCCAGACUCCCUCUCUCAGCAACUUCAACAUCACCAGCCUUAAGGACUGGUUCCAGCAUGUGGUCCUCCCUGCCCUGAACCGCUUCCAGCUCAACAACCAGACUCAGAUCCCACACGACCUUACUGCUGUCUUCAACCAAGUCUUCUCAUUAAAUCCUCCAAUGGGUUCUAACUCUUCCAUGUAUUCAAUGGUUGGUCCCAUGGAUGUCUGUCACAUUGGCAACAAUGAUGAUAUGUGCUCGGUGUCCCAUGCAGCAGAAAACCUGGCUGUGGUCCUGAGAUGUGUGCCCCAUUCUAACUUGAGCCUCACUGGAGAAAAUCUGAAACUAUUGGUCACAGAGCUAUCCAAGAUACUGACAGGACCACACACAAUGAUGGUAAGAAUACUUUAUUUUCAAUCAUCAGAGAUUCAAUUAAAGUCAAGACAAAUGUCAUGUUACUGUGACAUUUGA